rnacentral:rRNA from 1 species
CCCUUAGAUGUUCUGGGCCGCACGCGCGCUACACUGACGGAGGCAGCGAGCGUGUCCUUCGCCGGCAGGUGCGGGCAAUCUUGCGAGUCUCCGUCGUGCUGGGGAUAGAUGGUUGCAAUUGUCGAUCUUGAACGAGGAAUUCCUAGUAAGCGCGAGUCAUCAGCUCGCGCUGAUUACGUCCCUGCCCUUUGUACACACCGCCCGUCGCUACUACAGAGUGCCCGUGUCCAAGAAACGGUCGGACCUGUGCGGCCUCUCCGGGCGACCGGAGGGCCGUUACGGGGAAGGCCCUUUAUUUGACGCGGGUCGAUGAAGUAAAAGUCGUAACA